CCACAUAACACUUUAAAGUGCAAAAAAUAAAUAUUUUUCAGCGAAUAGUUGUGUAGGAUGGAAACAAUGGCUAUAUGUCUUCAUCUAAGUAAAAACACAUACCCGAUCUUAUAAGAGGGGAUGAUUUCAUGUGAAUUUGUAUGAUGUACAAUGUACGUAAACUAAACAUGAAGGUCCCUAACCCCACACCCAAAUCUUAACAUCAGUGAGGCGUAGACACAUUGACAAAGUCAACAGUGUAUGAGUAAGCCACCAAUUUGCUAAAAUGUAAAAUAGUUUCAGACUGCCAUAAAAAUGUGUUGACUAUUCAGAUUAUGGCCAGUAAUCAAAAUAAGGAACUACUUUGAUUGAGAUCUUUACAUGCAAAUAUCUUUUGUGCUCCAUAGAAGAAAGCCAUAUUGGUUUGGAAUGACAUGAGGCUUUCCCUUUUCCUGUCGAGGAUGGUGCUCGGAAGUUGUUGUUAUUGAAGAUCUUUCCUCCAUUGCGUUUUCUACAGGAUGAGGCUUUAAGGGGGGCUUCCCUUUCUGGAACUGUGAUUGUCCUGCCAUGUGUAUUUCAUGUAUAAAUAGCAAUUUUGGAAUGGAGGUCACUGAAACUGAGACGAAGACUGGUGCAAAAGAAUCUUCAAGAAAUAAUCUGCCUAGAAAUAAAAAGUCUGACAUAAUUUACUCACCUUUAUGUCACUUCAAACCC
ensembl:lncRNA